rnacentral:ncRNA from 2 species
AACCGCCGUAUGCGAGGCCCGCACGUACGGUGGUGUGAGAGGAGGGCCGGGAAACCCGGCCCUCCUACUCGAU